rnacentral:misc_RNA from 1 species
AAGCAAGCUGAUCACCUUCCUCUUUCAUCUUCUUAACAAGAAUGGAAGACGAAUUCAGGAUGAUUGGAAUAUUUAGGAGUAUUGAAUUCAGGAUGAGCUAUUAUAACAGAAAAGCCUUGAGAAUGAAGGAUACUUCCAAGCUGCAGCAUUGGUGUUAAAUGCCCCUGGAGUAGGAAUGGUACUAGUACUACACUCUGUUUUCUUUCAACUCUCAUCUUUGUUUUCUCUUCUAUUCAAAAAUUUAGUAGUAGUUUUCUUUGAAGGAA